rnacentral:lncRNA from 1 species
CAAGAGGUGUAGCUGUGUUUGAGCUGACGAAAGGAGUACCAGAAGAGCUGAUGGUCAAGUCCUUGUCCAGAGGCGAGGAUGCUCCAGACUCAGGAAGAGCCACUGUUUCAACGUGAGGCCAAAGGCAAGAAAAACGAAACCAGUGUUCCAGUUAGUUGAAAGGCAGCAGGCAGGAAAGUGUUGCCGCUCAUGUGGGGGAGGGAUCAGCCUUUUGCUCAGACCAACAGAAGAUUGGAAGUCUUUUCUUACCAAGGGAGGCACUCCCCUUCCCCAGCCUGCUGGCGUGCAUGUUACUCUCCUGCAGAAACACCCCAGCAUGAACCGAACAUUUGAGCGCCUUGUAGUCCAGGCAGAUUCACACAAGACUGACCACAAGUGGAAGGGACCCCCUUGCGUUGUGGCACUGCACACUUUACACAGCAAUAAGAAAGCCGUUUCCUGAAUCCUGAGAGUGAUCGCAUUGCCUUGUGGGACUCUAUCCAGAGAGUUUAAGCUCUUGAGGAUUGUUACCGGGAAGACCGGUGAAAAGUGUAGAUUUGAAUGUUACUUCUGUUGGCUAAGGAUUACAUUCCGCUAAGCUAGAAACACAGAUAACAGCGGCUUCAGCAUCCUAUGGUGUGAGUUCCGAAUGAUACCAUGGGGUCACUGGCGAGUCCUUGAAGGAAUCGGAGAAUUACAGAGCAUUCUUUGCUUACCCAGGUAACUGUCUGGCAAGCAGAGAUGGACACUUUCCAUGGUAAAUUUCAUUAUACUCCUUUUGGUGGUCUUUGCAAAGCUACAGUCUCGGCAAGCACUUUUUAUUCCUGUUCCUGAAAACAUUGUUCACCGUAGAAGGUAGAUACGCAAGUGUCCAUCAGUAGACGAAUGCAUAGGCGUAUGGUGAAGAUGAGGUGUGGAGACACAACUUAAAAAGGAAGGGGAUUCUGACAUAUUCACUAACACGGAAACGUUGAGUAAACUGUGCUAAACGAACUCUGUCAGCUUCAAAAGCAUAUAUGUGUUAUAUGACUUCUAUUUUGUAAGUUCUUAGAAUCACAUUUGUAGAGCCAGUGGCAGUUGCUAAGAACAGGGGCACCAGGAAUGGGGAGCCUGGUAGUCAGUGGAUACAGAGAUUUGGUUUGAGGUGAGAAAGUUUUGGCAUUUGGUGGCUAUUUUUCUUUCAUUAAAAAAAAAACUAUUUAAUUAUUUAACAUUUGGGGUUUUCUUCGAGAGAGUCUCAAAAGACUGACCCGGCACUCAUUAUAUAGCUUAGGUUGGCCUUGAACUUGAGGCAGUUACCCGUGUCUCUGCCUGCUGAAUGCCAAGACUACAGGCAUGAGUCGCCACCCCAGGCUGUUAUUUUACCACAAUUUUUGGG